GUUGAACGCUGGCGGCAUGCCUUACACAUGCAAGUCGAACGGCAGCACGGGAGCUUGCUCCUGGUGGCGAGUGGCGAACGGGUGAGUAAUACAUCGGAACGUACCCUGAAGUGGGGGAUAACGUAGCGAAAGUUACGCUAAUACCGCAUAUUCUGUGAGCAGGAAAGAGGGGGAUCGCAAGACCUCUUGCUUUAGGAGCGGCCGAUGUCGGAUUAGCUAGUUGGUGAGGUAAAGGCUCACCAAGGCGACGAUCCGUAGCGGGUCUGAGAGGAUGAUCCGCCACACUGGGACUGAGACACGGCCCAGACUCCUACGGGAGGCAGCAGUGGGGAAUUUUGGACAAUGGGCGCAAGCCUGAUCCAGCCAUGCCGCGUGAGUGAAGAAGGCC
rnacentral:rRNA from 1 species